rnacentral:lncRNA from 1 species
CGGGUCCUCAGUGCCGUUUACCAAGGCCGACAAAGUCCAGCGGCAUUAUCGUGUCAUCGUGACAUCGCCUCCCUUCCAGAUGCCUGGGGUUUGCUGCUUGGAACCAAGCACCGUAGUCAUCUCCUCUCCCCUGCCCUUCCUGUUCCUCUGAAGCUGAAGUCACUUCCCUGGAUGAUGCCUGGAUAGAAGCAGUGCCCAUUUCACCUGUUGGCAGAAGCUUGUUUUUAGCCACAUCAGGCUCUCUAGCCCUCCCCACCCAGGACUUUGCUGACUCAAAGGCCGGAUUGCUCUGUCCACAGUCUCCAGCACCCCCCGCUCCCUCUCUUGCUGGAGCCAUGCUGGGUACCCAGAAACCUCAUGCCCAGUCUUGGCCCAUCUUCCCAAAUUACUAUUUCCAUUUUUUCUUUCCUGGUAAUUUCUUUACCCUGUAGCCAUCCCCCCAUUACUACUGUACCUCGAGUCCCCUGGGGCUUCAGAGAAAGUCUGCUAACAACAGAAAAGGCAGAAGCCCUGAGCCCGCAUCACUCUGAUCCUAAAGGAGGAGGAGAGCUCCUUAGUGGCUGCAGCCUGUUUAACUUUUGUCUGCUUUCACAUGACUUCAGGACUCUGAAAGAUCAAGCAAAAACCAGGAUCUUGGCACAGAACAAAAGUGAAAUGGCAUUUUUGCCCAAAUAUUAAUAAACGCAAAUGCACACCCCUGUUGUCCCUGUUGGACAUGCUGGGGGACCGUGGAUUUUCU